UAAACGGCGGGGGUAACUAUAACUCUCUUAAGGUAGCGAAAUGCCUUGCCGUUUGAUUGACGGCUUGCAUGAAUGGCGUAACGAGAUCUCCACUGUCCCCAGUUGGAAGCCAUUGAACACUCUAUCCUGGUGUAAAGGCCAGGGAUUUCCAGUGGGAAGCGAAGACCCCGUGAAACUUUACUGUAGUCUGUUGCUGUGAUGUGGAUUUUAACGCACAGCGUAAAUGGGAGCUGUUCGACCCAGUUGCUUUCGGGCUUCUGGUUAGGCGAAAAUGUAACACCAUUCUUUGGAGUUCACAUCAUUUACUCGUAAUAUGCGAGGACACCGACAGAUGGACAGUUUGGCUGGGGUGGCACCCCGCCGAAAAAAUAUCGGCGGGGCCCUAAGGUUAGCUCAAGCGGGUCAGAAAUCCGUUGUAGAGCGCAAGAGCAAAAGCUAGCCUGAUUGGAUUCUUAACAUGAAAGAUUCCAACCACGAAAGUGUGGUCUAGCGAACCUCUGUGUCCUCAUUGAUGGGGGCCAGAGAUGACCGAAAAGUUACUCCGGGGAUAACAGAGUUGUCGCGCCCGAGAGUUCAUAUCGACGGCGCGGUUUGCUACAUCGAUGUCGGCUCUUCCUAUCCUGGGUGUGCAGAAGCAUCCAAGGGUGAAGGUGUUCACUUAUUAAAAGGGAUCGUGAGCUGGGUUCAGUACGCUGUGAGGCAGUAUGUUUGAUAUCUACUGGAAAUGUAUUAAUGUCUGAGAGGAAGGAGUAUCUAGUACGAGAGGAACGGUACUUCGAAGCCACUGGUCUACCUGUUAUCUGACAAGGUAUGCAGGGCAGCUACGCUUUAAGAGCUAAGUGCUGAAAGCAUCUAAGCACGAAAUUCGCCUCGAAAAGAGACAUAAGAAGCUCCUGUAAAAGACAGGUUUGAUAGAACCAAUGUGUAAGUGUUAAGGCAACGAGAUAUUCAGCAUGUGGUUACUAAACGCUUCGUUAUACACUCUU
rnacentral:rRNA from 1 species